rnacentral:rRNA from 1 species
CACUAGUGAUUGGUGUUCUUCCCGAUAUCUACACAUUCCACCGUUACACCGGGAAUUCCAGUCUCCCCUACCGCACUCAAGCCCGCCCGUACCCGGCGCGGAUCCACCGUUAAGCGAUGGACUUUCACACCGGACGCGACGAACCGCCUACGAGCCCUUUACGCCCAAUAAUUCCGGAUAACGCUUGCACCCUACGUAUUACCGCGGCUGCUGGCACGUAGUUAGCCGGUGCUUAUUCGAAAGGUACACUCACCCGAAGGCUUGCUCCCGAUCAAAAGCGGUUUACAACCCGAAGGCCGUCAUCCCGCACGCGGCGUCGCUGCAUCAGGCUUGCGCCCAUUGUGCAAUAUUCCCCACUGCUGCCUCCCGUAGGAGUCUGGGCCGUAUCUCAGUCCCAAUGUGGCCGGUCGCCCUCUCAGGCCGGCUACCCGUCGUAGGCUCGGUGGGCCGUUACCCCGCCGACUACCUGAUAGGACGCGACCCCAUCCCAUACCGAUGAAAUCUUUCCCAGACCACCAUGCGAUGGACUGGAGCAUCCGGCAUUACCACCGUUCAGGAGAAUCGAAUUC